rnacentral:rRNA from 1 species
CCCUUAGACGUUCUGGGCUGCACGCGCGCUACACUGAUGCGCUCAACGAGUUUUAACCUUGCCUGGAAAGGUUGGGUAAUCUUUUUAAAACGCAUCGUGAUGGGGAUAGAUUAUUGCAAUUAUUAAUCUUCAACGAGGAAUUCCUAGUAAGCGCGAGUCAUCAGCUCGUGCUGAUUACGUCCCUGCCCUUUGUACACACCGCCCGUCGCUCCUACCGAUUGAGCGAUCCGGUGAAUAAUUCGGACUGCGGCAUUGACCGGUUCCCGAUCGUUGCUGCGGAAAGUUUAGUGAACCUUAUCACUUAGAGGAAGGAGAAGUCGUAACA